UAGGGAAUCUGCCGCAAUGGGCGAAAGCCUGACGGAGCAACGCCGCGUGAGUGAUGAAGGUCUUCGGAUCGUAAAACUCUGUUAUUAGGGAAGAACAAAUGUGUAAGUAACUAUGCACGUCUUGACGGUACCUAAUCAGAAAGCCACGGCUAACUACGUGCCAGCAGCCGCGGUAAUACGUAGGUGGCAAGCGUUAUCCGGAAUUAUUGGGCGUAAAGCGCGCGUAGGCGGUUUUUUAAGUCUGAUGUGAAAGCCCACGGCUCAACCGUGGAGGGUCAUUGGAAACUGGAAAACUUGAGUGCAGAAGAGGAAAGUGGAAUUCCAUGUGUAGCGGUGAAAUGCGCAGAGAUAUGGAGGAACACCAGUGGCGAAGGCGACUUUCUGGUCUGUAACUGACGCUGAUGUGCGAAAGCGUGGGGAUCAAACCGG
rnacentral:rRNA from 1 species